ACAUGCAAGUCGAGCGCACCUUCGGGUGAGCGGCGGACGGGUGAGUAACGCGUGGGAACGUGCCCUUUGGUUCGGAACAACACAGGGAAACUUGUGCUAAUACCGAAUGUGCCCUUCGGGGGAAAGAUUUAUCGCCAUUGGAGCGGCCCGCGUUGGAUUAGCUAGUUGGUGGGGUAAAGGCCCACCAAGGCGACGAUCCAUAGCUGGUCUGAGAGGAUGAUCAGCCACACUGGGACUGAGACACGGCCCAGACUCCUACGGGAGGCAGCAGUAGGGAAUCUUGCGCAAUGGGCGAAAGCCUGACGCAGCCAUGCCGCGUGAAUGAUGAAGGUCUUAGGAUUGUAAAAUUCUUUCACCGGGGAAGAUAAUGACGGUACCCGGAGAAGAAGCCCCGGCUAACUUCGUGCCAGCAGCCGCGGUAAUACGAAGGGGGCUAGCGUUGCUCGGAAUUACUGGGCGUAAAGGGCGCGUAGGCGGACAGUUUAGUCAGAGGUGAAAGCCCAGGGCUCAACCUUGGAACUGCCUUUGAUACUGGCUGUCUUGAGUUCGGGAGAGGUGAGUGGAAUGCCGAGUGUAGAGGUGAAAUUCGUAGAUAUUCGGCGGAACACCAGUGGCGAAGGCGACUCACUGGCCCGAUACUGACGCUGAGGCGCGAAAGCGUGGGGAGCAAAC
rnacentral:rRNA from 1 species